GCCCUUCGGGGUGGAUUAGUGGCGAACGGGUGAGUAACACGUGGGCAAUCUGCCCUGCACUCUGGGACAAGCCCUGGAAACGGGGUCUAAUACCGGAUACAACCGCUGACCGCAUGGUCUGGUGGUGGAAAGCUCCGGCGGUGCAGGAUGAGCCCGCGGCCUAUCAGCUUGUUGGUGAGGUAGUGGCUCACCAAGGCGACGACGGGUAGCCGGCCUGAGAGGGCGACCGGCCACACUGGGACUGAGACACGGCCCAGACUCCUACGGGAGGCAGCAGUGGGGAAUAUUGCACAAUGGGCGAAAGCCUGAUGCAGCGACGCCGCGUGAGGGAUGACGGCCUUCGGGUUGUAAACCUCUUUCAGCAGGGAAGAAGCGCAAGUGACGGUACCUGCAGAAGAAGCGCCGGCUAACUACGUGCCAGCAGCCGCGGUAAUACGUAGGGCGCGAGCGUUGUCCGGAAUUAUUGGGCGUAAAGAGCUCGUAGGCGGCUUGUCGCGUCGGUUGUGAAAGCCCGGGGCUUAACCCCGGGUCUGCAGUCGAUACGGGCAGGCUAGAGUUCGGUAGGGGAGAUCGGAAUUCCUGGUGUAGCGGUGAAAUGCGCAGAUAUCAGGAGGAACACCGGUGGCGAAGGCGGAUCUCUGGGCCGAUACUGACGCUGAGGAGCGAAAGCGUGGGGAGCGAACAGGAUUA
rnacentral:rRNA from 1 species